CUACGGGCGGCAGCAGUGGGGAAUAUUGCACAAUGGGGGAAACCCUGAUGCAGCAACGCCGCGUGGUGGAUGACGCAUUUCAGUGUGUAAACUCCUUUUAUAUGUCAAGAAAAUGACGGUAGCAUAUGAAUAAGCACCGGCUAACUCCGUGCCAGCAGCCGCGGUAAUACGGAGGGUGCAAGCGUUACUCGGAAUCACUGGGCGUAAAGGACGCGUAGGCGGGUUGGAAAGUCAGGUGUGAAAUCCUACAGCUUAACUGUAGAACUGCACUUGAAACUUCUAAUCUAGAGUAUGGGAGGGGGAGAUGGAAUUAGUGGUGUAGGGGUAAAAUCCGUAGAUAUCACUAGGAAUACCUAAAGCGAAGGCGAUCUCCUGGAACAUUACUGACGCUAAGGCGUGAAAGCGUGGGGAGCAAACAGGAUUAGAUACCCCAGUAGUC
rnacentral:rRNA from 1 species